rnacentral:rRNA from 1 species
UACACGGUGGAUGCCCUGGCAGUCAGAGGCGAUGAAGGACGUGCUAAUCUGCGAUAAGCGUCGGUAAGGUGAUAUGAACCGUUAUAACCGGCGAUUUCCGAAUGGGGAAACCCAGUGUGAUUCGUCACACUAUCAUUAACUGAAUCCAUAGGUUAAUGAGGCGAACCGGGGGAACUGAAACAUCUAAGUACCCCGAGGAAAAGAAAUCAACCGAGAUUCCCCCAGUAGCGGCGAGCGAACGGGGAGGAGCCCAGAGCCUGAAUCAGUGUGUGUGUUAGUGGAAGCGUCUGGAAAGGCGUGCGAUACAGGGUGACAGCCCCGUACACAAAAAUGCACAUACUGUGAGCUCGAUGAGUAGGGCGGGACACGUGGUAUCCUGUCUGAAUAUGGGGGGACCAUCCUCCAAGGCUAAAUACUCCUGACUGACCGAUAGUGAACCAGUACCGUGAGGGAAAGGCGAAAAGAACCCCGGCGAGGGGAGUGAAAAAGAACCUGAAACCGUGUACGUACAAGCAGUGGGAGCCUCUUAAUGGGGUGACUGCGUACCUUUUGUAUAAUGGGUCAGCGACUUAUAUUCUGUAGCAAGGUUAACCGAAUAGGGGAGCCGAAGGGAAACCGAGUCUUAACUGGGCGUUAAGUUGCAGGGUAUAGACCCGAAACCCGGUGAUCUAGCCAUGGGCAGGUUGAAGGUUGGGUAACACUAACUGGAGGACCGAACCGACUAAUGUUGAAAAAUUAGCGGAUGACUUGUGGCUGGGGGUGAAAGGCCAAUCAAACCGGGAGAUAGCUGGUUCUCCCCGAAAGCUAUUUAGGUAGCGCCUCGUGAAUUCAUCUCCGGGGGUAGAGCACUGUUUCGGCAAGGGGGUCAUCCCGACUUACCAACCCGAUGCAAACUGCGAAUACCGGAGAAUGUUAUCACGGGAGACACACGGCGGGUGCUAACGUCCGUCGUGAAGAGGGAAACAACCCAGACCGCCAGCUAAGGUCCCAAAGUCAUGGUUAAGUGGGAAACGAUGUGGGAAGGCCCAGACAGCCAGGAUGUUGGCUUAGAAGCAGCCAUCAUUUAAAGAAAGCGUAAUAGCUCACUGGUCGAGUCGGCCUGCGCGGAAGAUGUAACGGGGCUAAACCAUGCACCGAAGCUGCGGCAGCGACACUAUGUGUUGUUGGGUAGGGGAGCGUUCUGUAAGCCUGUGAAGGUGUACUGUGAGGUAUGCUGGAGGUAUCAGAAGUGCGAAUGCUGACAUAAGUAACGAUAAAGCGGGUGAAAAGCCCGCUCGCCGGAAGACCAAGGGUUCCUGUCCAACGUUAAUCGGGGCAGGGUGAGUCGACCCCUAAGGCGAGGCCGAAAGGCGUAGUCGAUGGGAAACAGGUUAAUAUUCCUGUACUUGGUGUUACUGCGAAGGGGGGACGGAGAAGGCUAUGUUGGCCGGGCGACGGUUGUCCCGGUUUAAGCGUGUAGGCUGGUUUUCCAGGCAAAUCCGGAAAAUCAAGGCUGAGGCGUGAUGACGAGGCACUACGGUGCUGAAGCAACAAAUGCCCUGCUUCCAGGAAAAGCCUCUAAGCAUCAGGUAACAUCAAAUCGUACCCCAAACCGACACAGGUGGUCAGGUAGAGAAUACCAAGGCGCUUGAGAGAACUCGGGUGAAGGAACUAGGCAAAAUGGUGCCGUAACUUCGGGAGAAGGCACGCUGAUAUGUAGGUGAAGUCCCUCGCGGAUGGAGCUGAAAUCAGUCGAAGAUACCAGCUGGCUGCAACUGUUUAUUAAAAACACAGCACUGUGCAAACACGAAAGUGGACGUAUACGGUGUGACGCCUGCCCGGUGCCGGAAGGUUAAUUGAUGGGGUUAGCGGUAACGCGAAGCUCUUGAUCGAAGCCCCGGUAAACGGCGGCCGUAACUAUAACGGUCCUAAGGUAGCGAAAUUCCUUGUCGGGUAAGUUCCGACCUGCACGAAUGGCGUAAUGAUGGCCAGGCUGUCUCCACCCGAGACUCAGUGAAAUUGAACUCGCUGUGAAGAUGCAGUGUACCCGCGGCAAGACGGAAAGACCCCGUGAACCUUUACUAUAGCUUGACACUGAACAUUGAGCCUUGAUGUGUAGGAUAGGUGGGAGGCUUUGAAGUGUGGACGCCAGUCUGCAUGGAGCCGGCCUUGAAAUACCACCCUUUAAUGUUUGAUGUUCUAACGUUGGCCCCUGACCGGGGUUGCGGACAGUGUCUGGUGGGUAGUUUGACUGGGGCGGUCUCCUCCUAAAGAGUAACGGAGGAGCACGAAGGUUGGCUAAUCCUGGUCGGACAUCAGGAGGUUAGUGCAAUGGCAUAAGCCAGCUUGACUGCGAGCGUGACGGCGCGAGCAGGUGCGAAAGCAGGUCAUAGUGAUCCGGUGGUUCUGAAUGGAAGGGCCAUCGCUCAACGGAUAAAAGGUACUCCGGGGAUAACAGGCUGAUACCGCCCAAGAGUUCAUAUCGACGGCGGUGUUUGGCACCUCGAUGUCGGCUCAUCACAUCCUGGGGCUGAAGUAGGUCCCAAGGGUAUGGCUGUUCGCCAUUUAAAGUGGUACGCGAGCUGGGUUUAGAACGUCGUGAGACAGUUCGGUCCCUAUCUGCCGUGGGCGCUGGAGAACUGAGGGGGGCUGCUCCUAGUACGAGAGGACCGGAGUGGACGCAUCACUGGUGUUCGGGUUGUCAUGCCAAUGGCACUGCCCGGUAGCUAAAUGCGGAAGAGAUAAGUGCUGAAAGCAUCUAAGCACGAAACUUGCCCCGAGAUGAGUUCUCCCUGACUCCUUGAGAGUCCUGAAGGAACGUUGAAGACGACGACGUUGAUAGGCCGGGUGUGUAAGCGCAGCGAUGCGUUGAGCUAACCGGUACUAAUGAACCGUGAGGCUUAACCUUACAACGCCGAAGGUGUUU